CCAGAAACUAGGAGAGGAGCAUGGGGCAGGUUUUCUCCUAGUGCCUUCAGAGACACAUGGCCCUGCCGACACCUUGAGUUUGGAUUUUUGGCCUCCAGAACUGGGUACAAGCUGGAAAAGGGGAAAAUGAAUCAUGCUACAGGCCAAGUGUCCAUCACUGAUUCCCAGAGAUGCCCUUUGUGUGGUAGGCACUUCCAUGUGGACUCGCUACAGAGGUCAUAAGACCCUAAUUCCAGAGGGCCCUACCCUAUAACCAGAAGGAAGAACUAUUGCACAGAGAAUCUAAGAAGAAUCUAGACAGACAGCCCUUGCUGGAUUUCUCCACUCUGUUAGCAUUCGAUCAUUUGCCUUUUGUCCAGUCAUAUUUCUGCAUGGCUGUCCAUACUUUGUUGAACCUAAGCACAAAAUGGAAAGUUUUCCCUGUAUCUUUGGGUCGUCAUUCUGAAGGCUCCCAUGUUAUGUAAAACUAUGAUCAAAUAAAU
rnacentral:lncRNA from 1 species